rnacentral:rRNA from 1 species
UACGGAGGGGGCAAGCGUUGUUCGGAAUUACUGGGCGUAAAGGGCUCGUAGGCGGCCAACUAAGUCAGACGUGAAAUCCCUCGGCUUAACCGGGGAACUGCAUCUGAUACUGGAUGGCUUGAGUUCGGGAGAGGGAUGCGGAAUUCCAGGUGUAGCGGUGAAAUGCGUAGAUAUCUGGAGGAACACCGGUGGCGAAGGCGGCAUCCUGGACCGGCACUGACGCUGAGGAGCGAAAGCCAGGGGAGCAAACGGG